CGUAGGGUGCAAGCGUUAAUCGGAAUUACUGGGCGUAAAGCGUGCGCAGGCGGUUGUGCAAGACAGAUGUGAAAUCCCCGGGCUUAACCUGGGAACUGCAUUUGUGACUGCACGGCUAGAGUGUGUCAGAGGGGGUAGAAUUCCACGUGUAGCAGUGAAAUGCGUAGAUAUGUGGAGGAAUACCGAUGGCGAAGGCAGCCCCCUGGGAUAACACUGACGCUCAUGCACGAAAGCGUGGGGAGCAAACAGGAUUAGAUACCCUGGUAGUCCACGCCCUAAACGAUGUCAACUAGUUGUCGGGUCUUAAUUGACUUGGUAACGCAGCUAACGCGUGAAGUUGACCGCCUGGGGAGUACGGUCGCAAGAUUA
rnacentral:rRNA from 1 species